rnacentral:rRNA from 1 species
CCCUACUGCUAUCGGGGCGGGACUAAGACAUGCAAGUCGUGCGUCUCUAAGCCAUGUUAGAGACGCGGCGUACGGCUCAGUAACACGUGGCUAACCUACCCUUAGGACGGAGACACCCCCGGGAAACUGGGGCUAAUACCUGAUAGGUGAGGAGGCCUGGAAUGGUUCUUCGCUGAAAAGGCGUUGAAACCAUGCUUUUCAACGUCGCCUAAGGAUGGGGCCGCGCCCGAUCAGGUUGUUGGUGGGGUAACGGCUCACCAAGCCUAUAACCGGUACGGGCCGUGAGAGCGGGAGCCCGGAGAUGGGCACUGAGAUAAGGGCCCAGGCCCUACGGGGCGCAGCAGUCGCGAAAACUCCGCAAUGCGCGAAAGCGUGACGGGGCUACCCCGAGUGCCGUCCGCUGAGGAUGGCUUUUCCUCGGUGUAAUGAGCCGGGGGAAUAAGGAGAGGGCAAGACUGGUGUCAGCCGCCGCGGUAAUACCAGCUCUCCGAGUAGUAGGGACGAUUAUUGGGCUUAAAGCGUCCGUAGCCGGCUUAGCAAGUCUCCUGUUAAAUUCAGCGACCUAAUCGUUGAGCCGCGGGAGAUACUACUAGGCUAGGAGGCGGGAGAGGCCGACGGUAUUCCCGGGGUAGGGGUGAAAUCCUAUAAUCCCGGGAGGACCACCAGUGGCGAAGGCUGUCGGCUAGAACGCGCUCGACGGUGAGGGACGAAAGCUGGGGGAGCGAACCGGAUUAGAUACCCGGGUAGUCCCAGCUGUAAACGAUGCGGGCUAGGUGUUGAGGUGGCUACGAGCCACCUCAGUGCCGCAGGGAAGCCAUUAAGCCCGCCGCCUGGGGAGUACGGCCGCAAGGCUGAAACUUAAAGGAAUUGGCGGGGGAGCACCACAAGGCGUGAAGCUUGCGGUUC